rnacentral:lncRNA from 1 species
GAUCCCAGUCAAGACAGUGUCAGCUGCACUUUAAAAUGAAAAAAAGUGGGUUUUAUCUUCACUGGAUAAGGAGUAUUUAAAAACAUGAGCUCAGUUUGCAGGCAGCUUCCCAGAGAAGUAACAGAAGCCAGGAAAGGCUUCAUUCUGCACCUUCCACUAGGGCRGAAGAGCCUAAAAGGAUGGCUUGGAUGCCCUCUUGGACUGCAUUCCUCAUGUCUGGACUUUGAUCCUUUGAGAGGAAGAAAAUAGUUUUCUCUGAAGUGUCAUCCACUCCCAGCACAAGAUUGGCUUGUGUAAAUCUAUCUUUGUGACUUCUUAUUAGAUGAAAAAAACCACUAGUUUAAUUGCAAAAUACUUAUGAAAGUAAGUUAUUUGAUCUUUAGUGUAACCCGUGCACAAGGAUGGUUGAAAAUGCUCUUUGAAGUUUUAACAGGGCUUUGGGUUAGCUUUAACCAAUUGAGCAUUGAUUUAGGCUAAACCAGAAUAAACCGUACUUCAGUUUACUUUAUAUAAACAAAAAGUUUAUAAAUCUUAAAUGAAAGGAUUUUUAAAAAUCUUGCUUGAGAUGAUAUAAGUUCCUUAUGUGGGAAAGGUCUCAAUGUGUGUAACUUUCUAAUUUUUGUUAAAUUCUUCAUCAGCGAUACAAUAAUAGUCAUUACUGACUAUUACACGCGUGAUCGUUUUUAGCCAUCUGAGUUACAUGACAUGGUGGUGAAAAUGUCAAUGGCUGCGUACCAAGAGCUCUUGUUGUUGGAGUCAUGCUGUAUUCUGGAAAAAUCUUGUGCAGAAAAUCCAGCGCAGUGUCGUUACCAGCUUGUGAUACCGACACAACCGUCUACUUGGAAAUCUGAAUUAAUCAGAUAUAAGUUAGAGAAAGCUUCUGAAAUCUAAACAGAUGAAGAUCAAUUGAUAAAUCAACCCAGUGAUUCACCAUACUUUCAAGGUACUGUGACAUGCUUACCAAAAUAUUUUCCUUAAGCGUAAUAUUCACAUACUUUAGAUGGGGGAAGCAUGGAGAAUAG